CAAAGGUUAAGAACCACUGCCCUAGUGCAGUGGUCCCCAAACCUUGGACCUCCAGAUGUUCUUAGACUUCAACUCCCAGAAAUCCUGGCCAGCAGAGGUGAAGGUGAAGGCUUCUGGGAGCUGUAGUCCAAGAAUAUCUGGAGGCCCAAGGUUGGGGACCACUGCCCUAGUGUAUGUCCCACCUGGGCUGGUACAAUGCUAAAGAGGGAGAGAGAGACCAAUUGCUAGAGUAUCCUUGCAAAAAUUAAUGGCUCAUAUACUUCCUAAAUCUGUAUCUUACCUGUCUUCCAAAAACCUGAUUGUGGGUGGGUAACAAUCACAUUAAAUGGCGUGAACAUCAUUGUGCAGAAAAAAAUAGGUUAAUUACAACAUAAAACAGUUUUUAAAGCAAUUUAAAAUGGUGAUAGUGGGGGAAAAGGACAAAUUGUACCACAAAUCAAUGUGCAGGCAAAUGCCUCAGGGGUAAGGUUUAGCAAAGCUUGCCUUCAGCUUUCCAGAAAUCUUAUUCCAGAAAAUCAGGCUUUGUUUUUUACUUUCCAGUAAGGCUGUUAUUUCCACACCGAGACAUGAACAGACUGUUCUCGGGGCAGAGGAGUUGAUUGAUCCCUUCUAUGUGCCUUCAGAGGUCUAACUGUAUAAAAGGUUGCUGAUCGUAGUCGUCAGCUUGUGCCUUGAUCGUCCUUGUCAGAACUUGUGAAACGGACCAAGAGAUGGAUAAGAUUCUUCUCCUGGGUUUGUCUUUUCUGCUCUGCAGCAUAGUGGCUGAAGGCCUGGUGUGCAAUUUAUGCAGCAUAUCAGAACGUUGUUAUGGAAAUGAAACGAGAACCUGCAUUACCAGGAAGAGGUACCCCUACUGCUUUACCACUGCCGUCUACACAGAAAGCAGGGACUAUGUAUAUUAUGGCUGUGCCGAGUAUAAACCGUGUCUUACCUGGGAAUCCAUUCAAUCAGGAAACAAAACGUACAUUGUGAAAUGCUGCAAGACAGAUUUGUGUAAUGGAUUUCCUGCCCUCCGUGAAGAGGGUCGCCUUCUGGGGUCAUAAAAGGUCGUGGAUUCAUUUCCCAUCUUUUGCAAGUUUCCCCUAAAUAAUGGCUUUAAUUGAUCCAUUUUCACUCAUGAAGAUGGACCUUUUGUGUUGUGUGGAAAAGCUUGGAGUAGAAACAAUAAAAACGGCUUCCUCAAAAAGCA
rnacentral:lncRNA from 1 species